UGGAGAGGAAAUGAAGAAAUGAGAGGAGUUCUGCCUUCAUUCUACCAUGGGCCAACUGCCCCUUCACACCUGGCUGUUGGCUGUCCUCUGUGGGAUUCCAGAAGGUCUGCAUCCCCUUCCUUGUAUACACAACCCAGGACCACCUCAUCAUUCGAAUAUGACUGCAGCAUCUUUUUUUCCCCUCUUUCACAAACAGAGCUACAUCCUGGCUUGAUGUCUAACCAGGGUGUUAGGUAGAGGGGCUGAUACAGAUCUAUUCAUCAGGCACUAAGUAAACAUUUUAAGAUGAAAAUCUGUCUCUUACCUUGCAUAUGCCUUUAUGAAUAUCAUCCUGGAAUGGAGAGGAUGUUUCCUUGUUCAUAUUCUUGCUCAGAGAAAGUAGACUCAUCUUUGGAAUAGGUGUUCUCAGCUCUCUGUCUGGACUCAGGUAUUUGGAGAUCAAAGGGCAUUUCUCAUAGACAUAAUGCCCAGUGAUGUGGUUCAAAGAAUAAAAAAAUAAGACAACUCCAUGUAACACAUGCUCAUGAACUGAAUUCUACAGAAACAACUGGGACAACUGGAGAUCCUUCAGUGAGUCUGAAGAUUAGAUGGCAUUAAUGUAGUGUAGUUAUAGAAAAUGACACUUUGUUUUAGUAAUAAUUAGCUUAGUCCAUUGCUCCCGGCAAUGGAUGAGGCACAGCAAGCUUCCUGGGGAACUACAAUCAUGGAUUAGAGCAGUGUUGACAUUGGUCAGCAGAAGGAAGGCUCAAUAAACCAGUCAGAUCAUGAAGGGUCUUAUGCCCAAGCAAAGAAGUAUAUAUGCACGGGAGAUAGCCAUUAAAAGCCAUCAAACAAUUUCAAGCCAAGCAGUGAC
rnacentral:lncRNA from 1 species